rnacentral:piRNA from 1 species
UGACCUGGGAUUACACGUGGCCCAUUCAAU